rnacentral:lncRNA from 1 species
GUUUUGUUCCAUAUUUGUGAGAUUGAAAUCAUAGCGCAUUGUAAAAUAACCCACUGGUGUUACCCUGAAACGACACAUUUGGAUUUCUUACCCUAAUCAUCAUAUCAUGUUAAUAUAUUCUAGUCAUCUUGUUUUCUAUUUUAAACAAAAUAAUUUGACAUUCCAUUUGAUUACUGUUUUCUUGCUGUAUGUAUAACAUACCUUAAAUACAUGUAUAUGUGCAUGUACUGCAAUUGUUUUUGUUGAAUAUAAAAGUCCUCUGUUUUGAAUUUUUGAUUCAUAGUGAACAUCUUUC